UAAUCGUCUUAUUGUUACUUUUACAAACUAAUACGAAACAGCUGUUUCUUGUGCUCCGUAAAUCUAACGUUAAUAACGUUUACUAAUUUGUUUCGCGGUUAAACGAAAAUAUAUGUUAAUUGGAAAGAAAAUUGUGAAUAUCAUUACAGAACCUGAAGCAGGUUAUUACAAUGAACGAAGCAUGCUUUCGUGAUUAUACUUUCAUGAUUAA